rnacentral:tRNA from 1 species
GAGGGACAGGGCGAUCUCAAAAGAGUGCUAAUUUUUCUGGGCCAUGGUUGAACUCCAUGGGUCCCUUG